CGCGAACGCUGGCGGCAUGGCUAAAACAUGCAAGUCGAGCGCGAAAGUCCUUCGGGGCGAGUAGAGCGGCGAAAGGGCGAGUAAUACGUUCCUACGUACCCCCAGGUCAGGGAUAGCCCAGGGAAACCCGGUUUAAUACCUGAUGUGGUUCUUCGGAAUCAAAGGCUUCGGCCGCCCGGGGAGCGGGGAACGUCCUAUCAGGUUGUUGGUGAGGUAACGGCUCACCAAGCCGAAGACGGGUAGCGGGUGUGAGAGCAUGACCCGCCGCAUCGGGACUGAGACACUGCCCGGACUCCUACGGGAGGCUGCAGUAACGAAUCUUCCGCAAUGCGCGAAAGCGUGACGGAGCAAUGCCGCGUGCAGGAUGAAGCUCCUCGGAGUGUAAACUGCUGUCAGGGUUUAGCAACACAAUGAGCAGACCCAAAGGAAGGGCCGGCUAACUUCGUGCCAGCAGCCGCGGUAAUACGAAGGGCCCGAGCGUUGCGCGGAAUCAUUGGGCUUAAAGCGUACGUAGGCGGGCGCGCAGGCGUUUUGUGGAAUCCCUCGGCUCAACCGAGGAAUUGCUUGACGAACCGCGCGC
rnacentral:rRNA from 1 species